GCGCCGCUGACGCGCUCCAGCGCGCAGGCGCACAAACCCGCCAAGAAGCGCCGGGUUGCUAAAGAGUGCGAGACAGGCAACGCGAAAAAGAGUCCUAGCGGAUGCGCAUGCGUAGAGAAGCGGGAGGUGGUGAGGCACUGCGAGGGGGCUGUACCAAGUAGCGACGGCGAAGGGGCGCCGAGGGCUUUCGGUGCCCCCCCCCGCGGCAGAUGGCACCAUCCGCCGGGAGCCUCAGGAGGAGAAGUUCCAGAGUGGGAUAUGGACCAUAGUACACCGCACAUGAGGAGGCAUUGUGUCCAGGAUAUCCAUAUCUAGCUGGAAGGUGUCUCGAGGUCUUUACCUUUUUUCCCUCCACAUGGUUACCAAGGAAUACAAAGCAAGCUAUCACUUUGUGUCAGAUGCAGGCAAGAUUUAAGAGCUCCAGAGCAGCUGAGAACAUGGAUACAGCAUCUUGGGUGUGAGGAUGACGCUACACUGGCAGAGGAAUCUUUAAGGGGUAGAGGCUUCAAUUUCCUGCUGAGUUUUGUCAAGAUCCAGGUCUGCUGAGAGAAAGUGUUGUCUGCAAGAUGGGAGUGUGGCUCUGUAGCACCUCCUGGACUGAAGGGGGUCACUGUCUGGGAGUACAGGACACGUGGGUUGCAGGGGAAGAGUUUUGGGAUUGCACAAAACUUACAGGAUCUUUAGGGGGGGAACCACAAGCAGAGAAAGGGAGGAAUAGAGGUGAUCUGGGGAGGAAAAUUUUGGAGAAAACAGAGGGAUAAGGGGCUGAAAGGGGGAGGCUGCAUGUAAACAGGUGGCUGGUCAGUAGGCUAGUCUGGCCACACCCUGCACUUGAUCAGCACAGUCUGUCCUGUCUUCUCAUUAAACUCCGUUUUAAUUUUCCUGGGUGCAGGGCUGUCUUCCGCAGAGUGGGACCGCGGAAUCGCAGGGGCCCCUGUCUGUGGUGGUAGCAACCGGAGUGGAUGAGGUUAUCUAAGUCAGUGUGUGAUCACCCCUGAAUAUCAGCCUGGGCUUGCAAAGUAGUUGAAGUGACCUGGGAGCCGGGUGAGCGCAUGUGUCUCUGAGAGUGAGACAACUGGAGGAGCUGGCUGCGGGAGGAAGUGGGGGUCCCAGCCAUGUGGCAGAGAGACUGUAGGGUCUAGGGUUGACUGAGAGAUCAGACGUGUGUGUCUCUCUCUCUAUGCAUGAGGCAACUGAGGACCAGCUACUGGAGGGACUGUCUAAGACCAGGUUACUGGAGGCAGCUAAAGCCAAUUCUUCACAUUUUUUGGGGCAAUUUACAUCUAUGCAGGGUAGGCCUCAUUCUGAUCCUAUAAAAUCAGAGUGUUUCAAUUUACCCCUCCUUUCUUCUCAGCCUCCAUAGAGGCAUGUUUCAGUGCUCUAUAUUUGUAGUGAUGGUGUAGAAAGCAAGAUGCAGAGAUUGCACAUGCUGUGCAAGUACAUAGAGACUUUUGAUCUUCCUGCUUUUUACAGCCAUUUGUUCUCACUCAAUGCAGGUACCAAGUAGUAGAAAACCAGACCCUUUGUGUCUGGAAUGCUUAGCACCCCUUUUCUAUACCUUUUCUAUGAAAAAGACCUCCAUUCUGCAUCCAGUUCCCUUGCUCUAGUUGUUUACCCAGGAAAUCUCUGGACUGAGAGUGUCUGUAAUGCACUGGAUUAGGCAGACAGGGGUGUGAAUAGUAACUAAGCAUUCCGGAUGAGGAGAGGAAAUACUGACAGGUUUCUUCCCCAUUCUCCUGAGGAAAACCCCCUUCACAAAGAGUUGUACGAAAUGUGCGCUACCCAUUGACAUGUCUCACCAAUACUAAGUCUGUUACAGUGUCCCUCAAAGAUUGCUUCAGGGUUCUGUCACACCAAACCUCACCACUUCCACAUGAUUAAUUACUGCCAAGUCCAGUCUCAAACAAGAGCCAGUAAUGAUGGAUAUAUUUGUGUAAGGUGUGGCAAAGCACUUAGGCAGAUGUAUAUGCUUGUAUAUAAUACAAGUUUCAAUAUACACUAGGGCUUCAUGAUGAGAUUUGGACAGUCCCUUACCAAGUGGGAGAGAACAGUUUGGCUUAGUGUGGGCUAAUGGUUCUUUUUUUAACAUUAGUGAAGUCUGGGGAGUGGCCCUUGGUAACAGGCGCUGCCUGCAGGAAGGAGAGGGAUGCCUACACCUGGCCUCAACAGGCAUACUGGAUGUUUGAGGAGGUGAAAGAAGUAAAGGUUUUGGGGGAGUGAGAAUUGUCAUUGUCUCCUGAAUAAAUUAAGAAUCAGUAAGUCUUUUGAUGGGGAGCAGGAGUUAGGGUGGAGGUGAGAAGGACAAAACAAAAGAGGCUAGAAAGGUGAGAAUCCAAACAGAUGCUAAUAGAGGGAGGAAGUACAUGUUCCCUGCCUGAGGUCUUUUUUAGGUUUGCUUUCACAGGAUAUGAUGGACUUGCAAAAGGACCACAUUCUGAGCACCAUGGUCCUGGUGCUGGUUUGACAUAAUAGAGUAUAGGAAGCUUUCUGCAUGUGAUCUCAAGAUGGGUAAAUACAAACAUAGUAAUCUUUUACUUCUGUUCAGCCAUUUUGCUAACUUCUGUUUCUAUUCAGGAACUUUAAGUGAGAAAUAUAGUGCCCUAGGCACCAUUUCCUGCCAGCAGAUGGGUCCUGCCAGGGGGUGGUAUGGAUCUUAGGAGCUGUGAAAAAUUAAGUGGGAUGGUUGGGCCCUGAAGGAAUCUUAACACUCCCUCUCACUCCCCGCUCCCCACCAAGUUCAAUAAAUCAGUGCACAGAAGCUGUUUGGAAAACAACCAAUUCAAAACAAAACUUCAUUUGUGGUAUUGUAAUUACAUGGAUGCUAAGCAACACCUACAAAGAAGCAAACUGUGUGGUGAUGGAGCCGUGGUGUCCUUUCAGAAACAUUUAAGAGAGUUCUGUUUUAAAAAGAAAAAAAAGUCCUUGAUAACAAGUCUAGUCUAGAAACUUUCCACAGCAGCUUUCCAUGAUAGUUUCAGAGUCAUUUAUGAUGAAAAAUUCUUCAUUAUCACCAGAAACUGCUCCUGCCAUAGGUAUAAAUUUACUCAGUGUUAUAUCAUGGUGGAAAACCACACAGGAACCUCUGUUACGAUUGUGUGAAUAUCACCGUCUUUCAGUUUAUUUAAGUGGGAGAUGGGUAUCAAGGCCCAAGCCUGUCCUGGAGAAGACAGUGAAAUGUGUGCACGUGGGCUAGCGCGUCACCCCAGCAGGCGCAGCUCCAGUGCUAGCCUGCAAUCCUUAUCACGCAUACAUCAGUAGUUCCUUUCUCUCCAGUGGAGUUUCACUGCUGCUGUGAGGAACAUCGCCUACAAUUCCUAAGUGUUGGAAAGCAACCAGAAAUUUGGUUUCUCUAGAUAAAACAAUACUUUAAAACUAGUAGUUUUUACUAGUUUUAGUUUAUCUAGAUAAAAAAAUACUUAAAAACUAGUAGUUUUGAGGUGGUGGUCUAUCUCAGAUUCACUAAGUUUUUUAAUAUCAACAGCUUGAUAUAUAAACCUAAGUCUUAUUGCUUUAAUCUUUAUAAUUUUAAUAUAGCCUUAUUUAUAAAAUGGAUUUCAUUCAUGUAACCAAUGUGCAGGAAUGUUUUACAGGCAUUGUUAAUUCCUUAUCCAGGAUUACAAAUAUGCCUAAGAAUAAAAUGAAAAUAGAUGUUAUGGUAUUAAUUUAUGCAUUUUUGGAAAACAUCAAAGUCGCAUAACCUUAUGUCUAAUGAUUUCAUUUAAUUAUAGAGUUCUGUGUUUUCAUCUUCAAAGAAAUCUACAAUGACUAAUUAAUCUUGCAGCAGCCCUUUGAAAUACAUAGAUAGACAUAAUUAAUCCCAUCUAACCGAUUCCUUGCCCAAGGCAAUACAUUGGAUCAAUAUUUAAGCCAAGAUUAGAGCUCAGUCUUACUCUGUGGUCAUUUCACUAAACUAGCAGUUCCCAAGUUCCCUCAGGUUGGGCUCGCUCCUACCUUGCUGUGAUAGUUUAGACAGACAUACGCCUUAGCCUGCACUGAGUCUUCAUCCUCUAUCUUCCACCUCUCUGCCAAAAUGCUGCUUCUCCCUCUCGCCCUCAAAAAUUACUUCCACUCCAGUCAAUACAGGUGUGGAAAGUCUAAUUUUUCCCCUCCAGAAUUCUGUACCCAGCUUUCACUUGCUUAUGCUUGUCACUGCCUGCCUGACUCUUUGAACCCGCAUCCUCGCACAAGUUCCCUGUCCUCCAGGUGCCACUGCCCGCCCUGUGGAGCUCUGCUUCCAUGCUUGGUGUGGGCAGUGGCGUCCCCCAGGGUAAUCACCUCUCUCUUCCCCUGCCUCUGGAUCCCCCCAGCAGCUGGGAGGAAGCGCUGCUGGUGGGGUUGGUGUAAACUGCUUUGUAUCUUCUAGUUGGCUUACUCUUGUACGGUGAGCAAGGAGAAAACUGAAGGUAAGAUUUGCACCAUUAAAUAGGAGAUACUGUUCUCAUAGACCGUGGCCCGUACCAAGGUGCAGCCUAAGUCCUUGUGUCUGUUAUUGUAGGUGGAGAUUCAUGAAAGGUUUUGUAGCACAUUGUGAGUUACAAAAGCACGUUAUAGGAUCAAGGUAAUAUUGAAGGCUAAUGAAGUUCAUGGGUGUGGAACCACAGAGAAGCUCAUGUUGUAUAAAACAGUAUUACUUGCCUUGAAAAUGGUCGUAUGAUAAUAUAGACUGGAGUGAGGCCGUUCUGAACACCGUGGUGAGCAGCAGGGAUUGCACAGCGACAAGUUUGUCUGUGGCAGACUGUGAUAAAGUCCUGAUUUCAUAGAAGAAACUAAUUCUGCAUAGCAUGUAGUGAUGGAUGAGGUACAAGAAAAGGGAGAAAAAAUUAAUGGAAAAGGAGAUUCCCACCUCACGUCAUCAAAGAAUGGCACCAGAACCUGAGAAAUAGUGCCAGAACCUGGACUUCCCACCAUGGCAGUGUUUAAGAUCUGGUCAAAUCUUACUUGGCUAUAGCUUUCCUUACCUGGUAGGAAAUAGUGUUAAUAUGAUGUAUCCUGUUGUUGAUAACCAAGUCACAUUUGGAUUUGUGCUUUGAUGUAAUAUGUCAAACCAGAAAAGGUAUUCUCCAUGACUCUAGGGGUUCUGCUCCCUAAAAAAUUAGUGGAUGGACCAGAAAUAUUCCUGCAGGCAGCUGAUCUCACUACCCUUGGUUGACAUGCCACACUUCCCUCAUAAUUUCCUUUACUUUAUAGAAAAUGUUAUGUCUUCAUGCUGACUGCAGAAGAGAGAAAAAAAGAGGAUACACAGAGGACCUGAAAUUCUCCAGCAACAUUGUACAAUAUCUAAGGAUAUCCUCCAAACCUGGUGUACCGCUGCAAAAACUCUGAUUUAUCUCAGCAUUCCCAAAAGUGUAAUUUUCUAUGGGUGAGAUUGCAUAGCUAUGUCUGCUGCUUCAUUCCAUUUUCUUUAGAAAAAUGUUUGAUGCUCUGCCCCAUACUUUCAGGCUCUCUGCAGCUGACUAAAACGGUGGAUGUCUUCCUAAAAUAGAUAGUCUGCUUCAACCACAAAUUGAUUGGGCUUUGACUAGAUAGAAUUAUAUGUGGGGCAGAAGGUCAGACGGAUGAUCGUAGUUUUCCUGCUUGGCUUUAGAUCAUUGGAUUUACUGGGGUACUAAGCCUCUCCAUUCAGCAUGAUUCAAGAGAGUAAAAUCCAGAGCUCUAUAAAGUGGGAAUUGUACAUUCAACCAAAUGGAGAAUGACUGAGUAUAGACAUAUGGCAGAUUCAUUUUUUCAGGCUGUUGAUAAUCUCAAAGAACAUGUAGUAACAGAACAAAUCAGCAUGUUGGUGGAGGUUCCCCCGCCACCCACAGCAAAUGAUAUUUUGGGGCAUAUAAAUAGGAGACAAUUACAAUAACACAUCCCUUUCAAUCUGAGUAAUUUCUACUGAAAUCCAAGAUGACUGCUGUCAAAAGGAGAUGUACAAAAGCAUAGCGUUCUUUCUGCUUUAAAAUAAUUACAUACUGCAAAUACGUGCGAGAGAAGGCAAAUCACUUAAGGACACUCUUGGAAGAAGUAACUUAGGGGAAAUAUGAAUGUCAGUCGGUUUCCUGACAUAGUUUAAAUGUUAAAUGACACAUAACCUAGGAUCACCCAAACUAGAUGGCAAAGCCUUGUUGUACGAUACUGUCUGACAAUGAAAUCCUGCAUCUCGACAACUGAAUUAAAACAUUUCUUUC